rnacentral:rRNA from 1 species
ACGGAGGAUGCAAGCGUUAUCCGGAUUUAUUGGGUUUAAAGGGUGCGCAGGCGGAAUGAUAAGUCAGUUGUGAAAGUUUUCGGCUUAACCGGAAAAUUGCAUUUGAUACUGUCAUUCUUGAGUGUACAUAAGGUAGGCGGAAUUCGUGGUGUAGCGGUGAAAUGCUUAGAUAUCACGAAGAACUCCGAUUGCGAAGGCAGCUUACCGGGUUACAACUGACGCUGAUGCACGAAAGUGUGGGUAUCAAACAG